rnacentral:lncRNA from 1 species
GCCAUCCAUCCCAACCCCACAGGGAUCUCUGCUUCUCCCACCCUCCCCACCCCCCCCAGACCUCGAGAGCGCAAACACAGAGCAGUGGAAAAUGUGACCACGGUGGAACUGCAGAGAUGUGGGGCUGAGCAGCGCCAGCUGGAGCAGCACGGCUUGGCUGCAGGGCAGUGGGACCCGGCGGGGGGGGAGGGGGGGCACAUCCUCUCACCUCCAUCCCUGCGCUCCCAGGCCUUCCACUGCCCCACGGGGACACACAGCCGCCCCACGGGGACAGUCUGGCAAAGGAAGGGGCUGCAGGACUCCAGGCUGGCUCAGAGGGGGGGGUCCAUGGGGUUGGAGGCAGAUGGGAGGAUGGAAAUGCCACGGGGUGGUGACACACGGACAGGAUGAGAUGCCCAGUGAUGGUGGCGCACCGGGAGAUGGAGGUGCCAUGGGAUGGUAUCAUACUGCAAUGCAAUGAGAAGCACAGCAGUGACAGCAGAGCGGCAACGUCCCAGGCUGCAGCAAGCGGGGACUUGCUCAAACACAACAACUAUGAGCACAGAAACAAAGGAAGGGAGGAAGGAAGCUGCUUACCUCCUGAAGGCCGCAGGUACACAGAGAGCUCCAGGGAGUGCCCCUCACCUCCACUGCCAGGCCUUCAAUGAGGGCUGGGAAGGGGUGGGUCCUGGCUCCAGCCCUCCCACUCACUCAGCUGUAUUGCAUUGCACGCACCUGAGCUCCCCGGGCUGGCCCGGCCUUCCGCCACGUGCUCCGUCACUGCUUCAGGCCGGGACUCAGCACUGCCACUACAGAUGGGGUGGUGGCACAUGGGGAGGAUGGGGAUGCCAUGGGAUGGUGGCACAUGGAAGGGAUGGGGAUGCCAUGGGACGGUGGCGUGUGGGUAGGAUGGGGAUGCCAUGGAAUGGUGGCACAUGGAAGGGUGGAGAUGCCAUGGGGUGGUGGCACAUGGAUAGGAUGGAGACGUUAUGCGAUGGUGGCACAGGAACAGGAUUGAGAUGCGGUGGGAUGGUGGCAUAGGGACAGGAUGGAGAUGCCCGAGGAUGGUGGUACAUGGAAGGAUGGAGAUGGGGUGGGAUGGUGGCACAUGGAAGGGUGGAGGUGUUCAGAAAUGGUGACACAUGGGCAGAGUGGAGGUGCUGUGGGAUGGUGGCACAUGGGAGGAUGGAGACAUCCAGUUUGGCACAGGGACAGGACGGAGAUGCGGUGGGAUGGUGGCACAUGGAAGGAUGGAGACGGUAUGCGAUGGUGGCACAG